UUGUUUAUUACGCCAGAUGCGAUAAAUUUGCACAGAAUUAUCGCAUCCUUCCAUGCAUGCCAUGCUUCGUUAGCUUUACGACCUGCAUCUGGACCAGAGGACAAAAGAGAAGAGAAGACAAGGAGAAGAGUACUGUAUUCAUAUACUGGAAAAGAGUAGAAUGUUCGGAAAUUCGGAAAUUUAUCACAGCAAAACAGAUCUCAGGGUUUGUCAAGAAAAUAUGGCAAUUACAGAAAUUAAUUUGCAGGUAAAUUUCCUAAAAAUAUUCUUUAAAAAAAAUAUAAAAAAUAAGAAGAAACUAUAGCAUAACAACUUUA